GUCUACCAUCUGGGCCCUGGGGGCUUCAUAACGCUGAGGUACGUCUACCAUCUGGGCCCUGGGGGCUUCAUAAUGCUGAGGUACGUCUACCAUCUGGGCCCUGAGGCUUCAUAAUGCUGAGGCUUCAUAAUGCUGAGGUACGUCUACCAUCUGGGCCCUGAGGCGUCAUAAUGCUGAGGUACGUCUACCAUCUGGGCCCUGAGACGUCAUAAUGCUGAGGUACGUCUACCAACUGGGCCCUGAGGCUUUAUAAUGCUGAGGCUUCAUAAUGCUGAGGUACGUCUACCAACUGGGCCCUGAGGCUUCAUAAUGCUGAGGCUUCAUAAUGCUGAGGCUUCAUAACGCUGAGGUACGUCUACCAUCUG
rnacentral:lncRNA from 1 species